GGGAGGCAGCAGUGGGGAAUAUUGGUGAAUGGGCGAAAGCCCGACCCAGCAACGCCGCGUGUGCGAAGAAGGCCUUCGGGUUGUAAAGCACUUUUUAGCGGGAAGAGGAAGGACGGUACCGCUAGAACAAGUCUCGGCUAACUACGUGCCAGCAGCCGCGGUAACACGUAGGAGACGAGCGUUAUCCGGAUUUACUGGGUGUAAAGCGCGUGUAGGCGGUCGAGUAAGUUGGAUGUGAAAGCUCCCGGCUCAACUGGGAGAGGUCGUUCAAUACUGCUUGGCUAGAGGACAGCAGAGGGGAGUGGAAUUCCGAGUGUAGCGGUAAAAUGCAUAGAUAUUCGGGAGAACACCAGUGGCGAAGGCGGCUCUCUGGGCUGGACCUGACGCUCAGACGCGAAAGCUAGGGUAGCAAACGGGAUUAGAUACCCCAGUAC
rnacentral:rRNA from 1 species